CCUUUGGAGAAUUACACCAACCCAAGUAGCUACGGCAAAAGGGAAUUCGUUGAAGAAGGAA
rnacentral:ncRNA from 1 species